rnacentral:rRNA from 1 species
UACGUAGGGGGCAAGCGUUGUCCGGAAUCAUUGGGCGUAAAGCGCGUGUAGGCGGCUCGGUAAGUCCGCUCUGAAAGCCCGGGGCUCAACCCCGGGAGGCGGGUGGACACUGCUGAGCUCGAGUCCGGAAGAGGAGUGUGGAAUUCCUGGUGUAGCGGUGAAAUGCGCAGAUAUCAGGAGGAACACCAAUGGCGAAGGCAGCACUCUGGGACGGUACUGACGCUGAGACGCGAAAGCGUGGGGAGCAAACAGG